AGCCUGAUGUGAUUAAGAUUCUUUUUUAUGCGUUCAAGCUCAUUUUGACGAGGUUGGCUACCUCGAGGUGUUCAAAUUUUGUAUGGAAAAGACGUCAAAUGCUCUCGUCAGCGUAAAGGAGUUUUGCCAACUUAAUAGAAGAAGAAGGCUCGUAUGGCGUCCAUACUGUCUUCGCGCAACGGUCGAGUGUGCCGGAAGUUCUCGGCAAGUUGCGAGAGUCGAAUAGAGCUAGUCAUGUUGUACCGUCGCUUCUGACUAGGAGGAAGGAAUACCAGAAGUGCAGGGUUACUCAAGAAUGCACGUCAAUUUGAAGGUGAAGCCAGGAGGUUUGAAUAUUGUCACUUUGCAGACGUAACAAUUGAUGAUGAAAUGAAAUUAUAUAGGAAAGAGUUAAUAGAAAUAGAUAUUUUCAUAAAAUCGGUCUGGGUAGGGAGUUACGCCCUUUAAUUUACCAGAUUACUCGGAAUCGUUGUAGAUUGUUUAUGUUUGCUUGCUGAGUGUAGACGUUCAAUAAUACUGUAUUUCUUGUCGUCGAAGCAAUCCCUGUUUUGCAAAGCAAUUCUUACGUUUGAUAUCAGGAGUAUGAUGGAGCUACUGCAUCACUGCCUGUUGUAGACGGGGUUAUUCACAGGCUGCUCUUGAAUUUGGGCAAUUUGGAGAGAAACAGAAAUCGAAGAGAAUAGUACUGCAUGAUGUCUACCUGCCAAGUCUGUAUUAACAGUAAAAUAAUAUCUUUAGCCAGAUAAUAUAGAAGAGCAAUGAAACGACUGAAAGGCUUUCUUGCAGUGCAUGUGACAUACAUAAACGAUAUGGCAAAAUGAUUGAUAAAAAAUUGAUGUACUUACCACUUAGGGUCAAUGUACUGGCAUAAAUUCAAGAAUGCCGUUCUAAAUAAGCCUGAAGACUCUGAACAUAAAAUGUGUGAUGAAAACUACGCAUUUUGUCUAAGGAAAUGUACUAUUACCUAAUUAGUUU